rnacentral:rRNA from 1 species
GAUGAACGCUGGCGGCGUGCCUAAUACAUGCAAGUCGAGCGAACGGACGAGAAGCUUGCGUCUCUGAUGUUAGCGGCGGACGGGUGAGUAACACGUGGAUAACCUACCUAUAAGACUGGGAUAACUUCGGGAAACCGGAGCUAAUACCGGAUAAUAUUUUGAACCGCAUGGUUCAAAAGUGAAAGACGGUCUUGCUGUCACUUAUAGAUGGAUCCGCGCUGCAUUAGCUAGUUGGUAAGGUAACGGCUUACCAAGGCAACGAUGCAUAGCCGACCUGAGAGGGUGAUCGGCCACACUGGAACUGAGACACGGUCCAGACUCCUACGGGAGGCAGCAGUAGGGAAUCUUCCGCAAAGGGCGAAAGCCUGACGGAGCAACGCCGCGUGAGUGAUGAAGGUCUUCGGAUCGUAAAACUCUGUUAUUAGGGAAGAACAUAUGUGUAAGUAACUGUGCACAUCUUGACGGUACCUAAUCAGAAAGCCACGGCUAACUACGUG